GAUCGAUGCCGCCCUUUUUCAGGUUUGAAUUUUUCACACGUCUCAGUCGGGACUAUCUGCUUGUCAAAGUUUAUGCUUUCCCAAUUUUUAUUACAUCUGAUCUUGGUGUGAUCUAGAACAUGAUCUAACUCUUUGGAGACAUCAUAUUGUUUUGAUAACUGGCAAUCAUGGAUUUCGUGGUUAAUUUUGGCACCUAUUUGAAGAUGAUUCUGUACCUGCUCCAAGUGCUGCGUUAUAUCUGUCAUCGAUUCAGUCAGGAUCACCUGGAGCUGCUGUUCAACUCAAUCAGGGCAUCCGGUGGAUGGAACAACAACGUGGCAGAAAGAUUCCAGGCCAUUUUCUGCCCUAUAAUGGUUCGGUGUGGUGUGGAACCAAGUGGGUCAGGCAACGCGGCAGCACAACAAGACUGUGUGCGUUCGUGUCUGCCCUCGAGACGUCCCCUUCUGUAGCAGCUUUUCCUUCCUCUGUUGCCUACAUACCUGUACUACCGUACGUCCCCAUCCGUUUUAUUGUUCUUGUUGAAAACGCCCUAGUCAACAUCUUUUUUUUUUUUGCUGUUUGACAGAGUUUGCAUGUUCUCUCCGUGCCUGUGUGGGUGUUCUCCGGGUACUCCGGGUUUCCUACCAUAUUCCCAAAAACAUGCAUGGUAGGUUAAUUAAAGACUCUGAAUUGCCCGUAGGUGUGAAUGUGAGUGUGAAUGAUUGUUUGUCUAUACGUGCCCUGUGAUUGGCUGUCGACCAGUUCAGGGUGUACACCGCCUUUCGCCCAGAGUUAGCUGGGAUAGUCUCCAGCACGCCAUUGACCCAAGUGAAGAUUAACGGUACGGAAACAUACAGUAUAUCACUUUGAUUACAGAAUUAUCAAAAGAUGUGUUCAACAGUGCUAUUUUGUUUAUUUUUGUGCCUUGCAACAGUGUAAUUUGCAUCAGCAAUUGUGAAAUAAAUAAAUCAACA